rnacentral:rRNA from 1 species
CGAGAAAGUGGAGCAAUCCAUGAGUAAAGUGGCGUACGGGUGAGUAACACGUGGGUAAUCUGCCUCUGGGUGGGGAAUAACUCUGGGAAACCGGAGCUAAUACCGCAUAAGCCUUGUAAGAGGGAAAGGUGAAAAUCGCCGAGAGAGGAGCCCGCGGCCGAUUAGCUAGUUGGUGGGGUAAAGGCUCACCAAGGCUGAGAUCGGUAGCCGGCCUGAGAGGGCACACGGCCACACUGGCACUGAAACACGGGCCAGACUCCUACGGGAGGCAGCAGUGGGGAAUCUUGCACAAUGGGGGCAACCCUGAUGCAGCGACGCCGCGUGAGUGAUGAAGCCCUUCGGGGUGUAAAGCUCUUUCGGCAGGGACGAUAAUGACGGUACCUGAAGAAGAAGCUGCGGCUAACUACGUGCCAGCAGCCGCGGUAAUACGUAGGCAGCGAGCGUUGUUCGGAGUUACUGGGCGUAAAGCGUGCGUAGGCGGUG